UAGGGAAUCUUCGGCAAUGGACGAAAGUCUGACCGAGCAACGCCGCGUGAGUGAAGAAGGUUUUCGGAUCGUAAAACUCUGUUGUUAGAGAAGAACAAGGACGUUAGUAACUGAACGUCCCCUGACGGUAUCUAACCAGAAAGCCACGGCUAACUACGUGCCAGCAGCCGCGGUAAUACGUAGGUGGCAAGCGUUGUCCGGAUUUAUUGGGCGUAAAGCGAGCGCAGGCGGUGUCUUAAGUCUGAUGUGAAAGCCCCCGGCUCAACCGGGGAGGGUCAUUGGAAACUGGGAGACUUGAGUGCAGAAGAGGAGAGUGGAAUUCCAUGUGUAGCGGUGAAAUGCGUAGAUAUAUGGAGGAACACCAGUGGCGAAGGCGGCUCUCUGGUCUGUAACUGACGCUGAGGCUCGAAAGCGUGGGGAGCAAACAGG
rnacentral:rRNA from 1 species